AAUAGUCCAGGCUGGAUCUCUCCUCCUGUCUCUUCUCUUGGUAAAACUUCUCAGAGAACCAAAGAGAGGCAAAAUUUGAGGCCAGCCGGCAGCAGCAGAGAAGCUGAGGGAGACUUGAGGAUGUAGACUGCCCUGCCCUGCUGUGGCUGCUCAACUUUCUUUUUUUUUCCUGAAAAUAUCCAGACACUCUCUUCUCCCAGACUGGGAAGCAGAACGCAGGCCCCCUGCUGUGACGCUGCACCUGAGCAGAGGCUGACCUCAGAGGUUCCGGCAGCUGCUGGCGGAGCAGGAGCCCGAGGUGCAGGAGGUGUCCCAGCUCUUCCGCUCGGUGCUGCAGGAGGUCCUGGAGAGGAUGAAGCAGGAAGAGGAGGCCCACAAGCUGACGCGCCAGUGGAGCCUGCGGCCCCGCGGCAGCCUGGCCACCUUCAAGACCCGCGCGCGCAUCUCGCCCUUCGCCAGCGACAUCAGGACCAUCUCCGAGGACGUGGAGCGGGACACACCGCCGCCACUGCGGUCCUGGAGCAUGCCCGAAUUCCGGGCGCCCAAAGCCGACUGACCCCGGCCGCUUCCCUGCCCAGAAGCGGAGCCUUCUGCAGGGGGAAUGAUAGGCCGGUGACCGGAGCGCCGGGCCCUGGAACCUCCCCACCUAGGCCUGACGAGGAGACCCAAGAGGCGGCCCCAUCCCAAGACGCUGCUAUAAAAUGAAGCGACUCCCUGCCCCAUCCUCUUCCUCUGGCCACAAAGCUGAGUUAGGUCGUAGAGCGGCACCGCCCUCUCCCUCUCCUGCGCUAGUCUGCAGGAGCAGCCCCUUCCCUAACUGGCAGAUUCAAGGUUUUGGAAGACAGACCAUUGCCCCAUCCUCAUCUCCUGGUUCUGUCUAAAAGGGGACAGUUGCCCUGCCUUUUGGCAAGACCUAGGUUCUCACCCCAAUUUCAGGGAUGUCCCAUUCACCCCCCUACCCCCAUCCCCAAUGAGAAGGGACCUGUUGGCUGGUAUGCCUUCUUGCUAGUGACUGGCUGAGCUCACCACUGCAGGUGGGUCACACACAGCCUCAUAGGCAGGCACAGCUGGAAGGGACCAGAGAGACAUUUAGAUCCACUCUCUUCAGCUAGUAAAUGUGGAACUUGAGGCUCAGAGAGGGACACUUCUUCUGCCUUUAACUGCAGCCAGCUCCUCAUGAACAGUGAGAUUGUUCCUGCAUGAAUAGUGUCUGUUCCUGAGUUUGGAAUCCUGGGCUAUGAAGGGACAGGUCCAAAGGCUACAUCUCUACCUACCUGUGGCCUGAUCCAUCUCUUACCUUGGCAGUGGGAUGAGAAUCUAAGCUGCUCUCCAAGAAGUGUAGCUAGGGGUGGAGGUAGGUUACUCAUUACCCCACGCCACAAUGUCAUCGCAUGGGCUGUGGCCAGUCCCUAACAGCUUCUUCCAGAGGCUCAGCUCCAAGGACUUCAGAUGCUGCCCUAAAGAGCCCAGGUUUCUCAAUUCCAGGGUUCCGCUUUCUGCAGCUGGUCACACCUGCUCUCUGGCUUUCUCCAGAAAGUGAUGCCCAAACCCCUGACUGACCUUGAGGCAGCUGAGUGAAAUGUUCUAGAAGAGCUUCCUGCAGCUUCAUUGUCCUUCCCUUUUCUAACAUGGUUAGGCCUUGAUGAUGGGCAUGUGGAUUACCCAAUGUGUGGAUCACCCAUGGAAAAUCUGGAAGGCCAGGAGGCCUUCCCACACACUCUGGGGUUGAAGUGGGGUGUAAGGGGGAUGGGUGGGGAAGUGUCUACCCUCAACUACCAGCACACAUGCAGAAAAUGCAAGUGGACCUUAAUAGUAGCCUAAAUAAAAUACCCGGAGGAGAUAUAAUCAACAGGGGGGAAAAGUGUGUAUUCCCUCAGUGGAAAAAAGUUUUUUUGAAUGAUUUGGUUUUGAACUUCCCUUUUGAAGUUUUUUUGGAUUUUCACUUGAAUCUGGACAGAGAAUCAUAGGAUGGUGGAAAACCUCUGAUCCAACACUAUCAAGAUGAAAGAGUUGAUUGGCUUAUUAAUGUAAUUGGUAGAAGUUGAGAAUCACUUAAAAUAUACAUCUUAAACAUCUUACGUAUUUUAUUUGAAGACAUAAAAAGUUCACUUGGUUGCCAAACUUUUUUUUUUUUUUUUGAGACUGAGUCUCACUCUGUUACCCAGGCUGCAGUGCAGUGGCGUGAUCUCGGCUCACCACAACCUUUGCCUCCCGGGUUCAAGUGAUUCUUCUGCCUCAGCCUCCUAAGUAGCUGGGACUACAGGCACGUGCCAUCACCCCAGCUAAUUUUUGUAUUUUUAUUAGAGAUGGGGUUUCACUAUGUUGCCCAGAAUGGUCUUGAACUCCUGACCUCGUGAUCCACUCGCCUUGGCCUCCCAAAGUGCUGGGAUUACAGACAUGAGCCACUGUGCCUGGCUGCCAAACUUUUGAUGUGGGUCCAAGCUGUGCUUUUUUGUGACCUAUAUGUUUUGUCUGGUGGGAGUUCUACACUUAAGUUUUCUUGGUUUGCACUUUAAUCAUAACAAUAAGAACAACUGGCGUAAAAGAGUUUUGGAACAAGCAGAAGUGACCCUUGGUAAGCAGACUGCUCAGCUGGUAGGGGCAAAAGUGUUGGGGGAGGAUUAGAAAAAGGCCUCCACAUUGUGGGCUUUCCGGGUGCCCUGGAUGUGGGUCAGCAAAUGUUUUAGAGGAAGUAGUUAACCUGGAGGGAGAUUCAAAGGAGGCUGGAUAAGAGAAUGUCUAUUUUUCUCCUUCCCUAUCACCUUACAUGUACCUAUUCUCCCCAAAGAGAAGGAAGACCUUAGGCUUUCAAUGUGGUGUUCUUUCUUAAGUUUAAGUAACUGGCUGCCAAUGAAAACCUUCCCUUCGAGCCGCAGGCAUGUGGACAGAAUCCACCACCCUCCUUAGACACUCCUCAGACUACUACAGGCUAUCCCCAGCUGGUGGCUCUCAAAUUCAUGAGGGUCCAGAAGUUGUUCCUCUGGAUUCAGGUUGUUAAAGGGACUAAUGAGGUCUGCUUCCAUUACUAUUAUUGAAACCUCAAUAACCACAAAUAAAAGAACAAAAAGUU
rnacentral:lncRNA from 1 species